UCUGGCGGCGAUAGCAUGAUGGACACACCCGUUCCCAUCCCGAACACGGAAGUUAAGCAUCAUAACGGCGA
rnacentral:rRNA from 2 species